AUUGAACGCUGGCGGCAGGCUUAACACAUGUAAGUCGAACGAGUGGCGGACGGGUGAGUAAUGUCUGGGAAACUGCCUGAUGGAGGGGGAUAACUACUGGAAACGGUAGCUAAUACCGCAUACCAUCGGAUGUGCCCAGAUUGGAUUAGCUAGUAGGUGGGGUAAAGGCUCACCUAGGCGACGAUCCCUAGCUGGUCUGAGAGGAUGACCAGCCACACUGGGACUGAGACACGGUCCAGACUCCUACGGGAGGCAGCAGUGGGGAAUAUUGCACAAUGGGCGCAAGCCUGAUGCAGCCAUGCCGCGUGUGUGAAGAAGGCCUUCGGGUUGUAAAGCACUUUCGGCGGGGAGGCGUUACCCGCAGAAGAAGCACCGGCUAACUCCGUGCCAGCAGCCGCGGUAAUUC
rnacentral:rRNA from 1 species